UAAGGUGUAGUUUAGUGGUAGAGCACUGCCCAGCAUGCUCUACCAUGAGGCCUGGGUUCAAUACCCAGCACCAG
rnacentral:tRNA from 1 species